GGUGGCUGCGCAUGUGCCGGCGGAGGCGGCCCGAGGUGAGAUGGCGGCGCGGGAGCUGCAGUUCUGCAGCGAUGGCAGAGCCGCGGUGUGAGGGGCAGCCAGGGUGUGGCACAAGGAGUACGGACUCAUCCCCUGGCCUGUCAGGCACGUCCCCCCCAGCUGGGGCAGCACCCCCCGCAGCUCCCCCCGCCAGGGCAGCGCCCCCUGGGCCAGGCCCAAGCCCCCUUCCCAGGGCAGCUCCUCCCGUGGCGUCCCCUGCCAUGGCAUCAGCACCUGUGCCAGACAAAAGCCCCCCUGCCAGGGUAGCUCCCCCCACUCCAUCUGAAACAAUGCCCCCCAUGCCAGCCGAGGAAACACCCAUGCUGCUGCUGGAUGAUGUGCGAUACCAGAUCGCUUGCACCAACUGGUACUAGAACUGUCCAGCUCCACUGCAUCUGGAAGGCAAGUCUCAGACCCCGCAGCGCCAGGCACCCAGUGAUGCAGAUGGACUCCAUGUCGCCUCCAGGAGCACCUGUAUUACUGCCCUCCUUGAAGAUGACAUCCUGCGUACUGCUGCAUCUGAUGCUUUGAAUAAAGAGCCAGGGUCAAAGCUGCUGAGUUCCUGCUCUUCUCUCCGGCUACUAGGCUCCCAUUUCUACCAGCUUUCAUGCUGAUAUCCCCAAAUCACGUGGACAGCGACCCCUGUCAUAACCACAGGGCUUUACUCUCUCCCCUCACCCACAGAAACUUUCCUUCCCAAGGGGCCAUAUCCCCUCUCUCUCCCAUGCACACAUGUCCUGCCUUCUUGUGCUUUAUACACUAACAGAGUCUGUACACACAGUGUGCUGACUGCACAGCUUGCUGUUUUCAGAAUCAAAUCCACUUUUUGCUGGAUUUAUGCUUCUCCCCAGCAAAAGAUAUCGCCUUCCCAAAAUUCACCUUCCAACCCCCACCCCACCCAAUUGAGCUACAGCGUUGUUCAACACAGAAGACCAGGUUUUUUUAAUAAUGGUGAGUGCAUUCCCUCUCCCACCACGCUAAUACUCAAAGGCAGCUAAAAUCUUUUUUAAAAACUGCCCUCUGCCAGAAAGCAAGUGUGAAUAGCAGGAGCCCAAACUGUGAGGUUUGCAGCGCUGUGAGUGACUGUAAACAGUGUGAAAACAGAAACCAUUGUAUAGCCUUAGUUGGAGAAAUUGGGGCUACCUCUACCAUCAUUUUUGCUGCUCACUUCCUAAAGUGCUGAGUAAAAUAAUUGCCUUUAGGCAACAUUUGUCCGGUUGCUAGAAGUGCAAAAAGAAUGAAAUAACCAGCGUGCAGACUUCCUUCAAUGUUGCCAAUGCCAUGUACACAGGGAACAGAAAAGCAUGCCUACGCACAGCGUAAGAUUCCUCCAGCCAGCAAAAAUACAUAGACUCUCACGUGAUGGGGAAUUGCCACAGGAUCAGAAUGGGCUCACCACUUCAUUGCAGUAGGGUUUCUUUGGGUUUGCAGUGGCUUAGCUGGGAGCAGCACUGGGCUCCAUGUGUUCAGAUCUAACCAGACUUGGUCUAUGAGGCUUUAAGUGCAUGUCAAAUCUGAACUUGUGCAACAGGUCUGAAAAUAGCAGUGUAAAUGGUUCUCAAACUUA